rnacentral:rRNA from 1 species
UUUUUAAGAAUUGAACAUCUGAGUUAAAGUUGUGUCUGAGUUUACAGCAGUGGUAAAAAAGAAUUUCGAGUGNGUUACUUUUUGUAUAACGGUUAAACAAAAAUUUUACUAUAUAGUAAUUCCCGAAAUAAGAAGAUCUAAGUUAUUAUAAACCAUUUUAGUGUUUAAAUUUAAUGUGGCAAUAUUAAAGGAAGAUGGUAACUUAGGGGCGAAAAGCUUACAAUUUUUAUGAUAUCUGGAUAGGAGGUAAAAGUAUAUAGUACUUUAUAAAACAGGCAUAUGGUGUUGAGAUCUUAUGUUAAGAGAAUAGAAUUUUAGUUGUUAGUUUUUUGAGUUAAUCCUCCUAAAGUUAACUAAAUUUAUAAUUAAUUUAAAUGUUUAUCUCCUUAAAUUAGUUAAACCUUCGUUUUCUAGAGAAUUUACCCUAGAAGUAAUAAUGUUUAAAUUAGUAAUAAGAUAGUAUAUAGUUAAUAAGCUUAGAGUAAGGAACUCGGCAAAUAUUAACUUCGUCUGUUUAUCAAAAACAUAGUCUAAAGAAAUUUUAUUUUAGAUAAAACCUGCCCAGUGCUAACUAUAGUAAAUGGCCGCAGUACCCUGACUGUGCUAAGGUAGCGUAAUCAGUUGGCUUUUAAUUGGAGUCGUGUAUGAACGGAUUUUUGGAGUUAGGCUGUCUCACUCAAGUUUAAUUGAAUUUAAUCAAAGGGUGAAAAUGCCCUUAAGUAGAUAAAGGACGAUAAGACCCUUGGAGUUUUUAUUAAAAACUAUAAAAUUUAGUUUGAUGUUUUUGCUGGGGCGGCACAGAGGCAUCAUAAACCCUCUGCUACAAUUGGCCGACAUUAAUAAGUUAAGUUAAACUACCCGAGGGAUAACAGCAUUAUUCUUAAAAGAGUUUGUGACCUCGAUGUUGGACUAGGAAUUCUUUAGAUUAGCCGUCUAGAUAUAUUGUUCUGUUCGAACUAUUAUUCCU